AGCAGCCCGUGUAAUCCUCUUGUGCUGAAGGCAGAUGCCUUAUUUGUUUGGCUGGAGCGAGCCAUUAAUCCCUAAUUCUGGAUCAGCAAGCGAGGGGGAAAGAGCGGACCGCUCCGACCCACGCCCUCCCCACCCCACCUCCCAGCCUAAAGCACCUUAUACCACCGGGGCCUCUCAGUCUCCUCUUUCCUCCGCGAACGCGCUGAGCAGCGACUGAAAACGCUUUGGUCCUCUGCAGGGGCGCCUUCUGGGGUCUCCGCGCAGCACUGGCUCUGGGCGCUCUCUCCGUUCCUCGGACGCAGCCCGAGCGGGCCGCUCCUUCCGGCCCACCGCGCCGUGGGGACGCCGCGAACAGAGCUGCCGCCCCGGCCGCCUCCGCCCGCCGCCCGCCGCCUCCGCCCGCCGCCCCCGGGGCUCCGCCCGCUGAGGUCCACUCCCCUCACCCUCCUUUCUCCUGCCUGCCCUCCCUCGGCGGGCCGAGCACUUUCAGCCUCAGACCUCAAGCCGAAGUCCGAGGAGUGCGUGUCUGCUGCGCUGCUUCCAGCCGAAAUCCCCCGGUCCGGCCCAGACCCAGGGUCCGCACUCGGGGCGGUGGGGAAGCCUUAAGAGCAGGCUUUUCUCUAUGCAGCAAAAUCGUCCCCAGACCAGAUGGGCGGCCCAGCUCUCCCGGGACCAGGCAGGUGCGGUUGAGUUAAUUUUUCCGCAUUACAAAGAAAGAUGACCCGAGCGCCCUUGGAUUCUCAUCUUUUCCCAAAAUUUCCCUAGCCAAACUGCGGUAACAUUAUCGGAAGACCCCAGGACGAGGCGAAUCCGUGUGUUUCUCUUACAUACACACACGCAUGUUAAUUUUUUCCCUUUUACAUGCUAGAUUUCUUCCUCAGAAGCAGAAAUGAUUGACGAAGGGUUCCACAACAGAUCAUGGGACGGCGGGGUCCUUAAACCCUGACAUUCUCUACCAGUGCCUUAGGAAGGAGUCAAGUCCUCAACUGCGGAUCUUAGUGCUGAUGUAGUUAUCAGAGAGACUCUGAACAGACUCCAGUGUGGACUUCAAGAUUUGCCAGGAAGGAACAGGAUUGGGAGUGACUAAGUGAGACCUGGCAGUAGCCAAUGCAGCCUGGAAACGAGGAACAGGCUAGUAGCAGGACAGCCUUCUUAUGUCGGCCCAGGAGGCCAAGCUCCCGGACAUCUCCCGGCCACCGGUGCACCGGACUCUGCUCAGCGCAUCCCCGCCAGCGGGAGGCACUGCAGCAUCUGAAGGCCUGAAACCCGCACUGCGGAAAAAUCAGCCACAGCAGCAUCCUUCUGUUAGUCUCUGCCUGCCUACCGGAAAUAGGCAGAAUGGCUUAGUAAAUCCCAUGCAAUGAAGAUUUACUUUAGUACUGUAGUAGUGGAGGGUUGGAUGUGUGGGUAUUGAUAUUUUCAACAAAUUUUAAAAUUCUCAGCAUAUUUCAUUAUCCCAACUUAGCUAUUGAGAGUAUUAAAUAUAAACAAUAACAUUUAAAUGCCCUAAUUAAUGAAUUAAAAGGGAAAGAAA
rnacentral:lncRNA from 1 species